GUCCCCAUCGUCUAGAGGUUAUGCCGACACUGCCCUUUCACGGCUGUAACAGGGGUUCGAAUAGCCCAGCUGGGGACGCCA
rnacentral:tRNA from 1 species